AAUGGAAUGAUGGGAAUUUAAACCUCUUCCAGAGUAUCAAUUGGAGGGCAAGUCUGGUGCCAGCAGCCGCGGUAAUUCCAGCUCCAAUAGCGUAUAUUAAAAUUGUUGCAGUUAAAAAGCUCGUAGUUGAAUUUCUGCUGCAUCGUCGCAUCUCUUGCUGAGUGCUUCGUUUCGGCUUAUUUCGGAUUGAUUUUUUCUUUCCGGAUGAUUACUUUGAGAAAAUUAGAGUGCUCAAAGCAGGCUUUUGCCUUGAAUAGUUUAGCAUGGAAUAAUAAAGUAGGACUUUGGUUCUAUUUUGUUGGUUUUAGGUACCAAAGUAAUGGUUAAUAGGAACAGUUGGGGGCAUUCGUAUUUAACUGUCAGAGGUGAAAUUCUUAGAUUUGUUAAAGACGAACUACUGCGAAAGCAUUUGCCAAGGAUGUUUUCAUUAAUCAAGAACGAAAGUUAGGGGAUCGAAGACGAUCAGAUACCGUCGUAGUCCUACCC
rnacentral:rRNA from 1 species